AUACGUAGGUGGCGAGCGUUGUCCGGAAUUACUGGGUGUAAAGGGCGUGUAGGCGGGAAAGCAAGUCAGAUGUGAAAUACCGGGGCUUAACUCCGGGGCUGCAUCUGAAACUGUUUUUCUUGAGUGUCGGAGAGGAAAGCGGAAUUCCCAGUGUAGCGGUGAAAUGCGUAGAUAUUGGGAGGAACACCAGUGGCGAAGGCGGCUUUCUGGACGACAACUGACGCUGAGGCGCGAAAGCGUGGGGAGCAAACAGGAUUAGAUACCCUGGUAGUCCACGCCGUAAACGAUGGAUACUAGGUGUAGGAGGUAUCGACCCCUUCUGUGCCGGAGUUAACACAAUAAGUAUCCCACCUGGGGAGUACGGCCGCAAGGUUGAA
rnacentral:rRNA from 1 species